rnacentral:rRNA from 1 species
UUGAACGCUGGCGGCAGGCCUAACACAUGCAAGUCGAGCGGAUGAAGGGAGCUUGCUCCUGGAUUCAGCGGCGGACGGGUGAGUAAUGCCUAUGAAUCUGCCUGGUAGUGGGGGAUACCGUCCGGAAACGGGCGCUAAUACCGCAUACGUCCUGAGGGAGAAGGUGGGGGAUCUUCGGACCCCACGCUAUCAGAUGAGCCGAGGUCGGAUUAGCUAGUUGGUGGGGUAAAGGCCUACCAAGGCGACGAUCCGUAACCGGUCUGAGAGGAUGAUCAGUCACACUGGGACUGAGACGCGGUCCAGACUCCUACGGGAGGCAGCAGUGGGGAAUAGUGGACGAUGGGCGAAAGCUUGCUCCAGCCAUGCAGCGUGUGUGAAGAAGGGCUUCGGAUUGUAAAGCACUUUAAGUUGGGAGGAAGGGCAGUAAGUUAAUACCUGGCUGUUUUGACGUUACCAACAGAAUAAGCACCGGCUAACUUCGUG